rnacentral:rRNA from 1 species
GCGUGAGUGAUGAAGGCCCUAGGGUUGUAAAGCUCUUUCGGCGGGGACGAUAAUGACGGUACCCGCAAAAGAAGCCCCGGCUAACUUCGUGCCAGCAGCCGCGGUAAUACGAAGGGGGCUAGCGUUGUUCGGAAUUACUGGGCGUAAAGCGCACGUAGGCGGAUCGUUCAGUCAGGGGUGAAAUCCCGAGGCUCAACCUCGGAACUGCCUCUGAUACUGGCGAUCUUGAGACCGAGAGAGGUGAGUGGAACUCCGAGUGUAGAGGUGAAAUUCGU